UUCCCUGAAACCUCUGUCUGUCAUCACAGGAUUCCUAGAACCCGUUCUGGAUAACACCUUUGUGUGGAAGUCUCAUACCAGCCUCUGCAGCUCCCGGAUCUCCUGAACCACGGCUAAAUCCUCCCUGGCUCUGUUCUCCUCCCGUGCGUCUCCUGUUCACCCUCCAACAACCCGCCUCACUUCUCCGAACCUCCGCCUCACUUCUCCGAACCUCCACAUCUACCCACAGCCCCGGUACCGGCUCACCUCUCCCACGCUCCGCUACAACCAAAUCUCAUGAUCCAAUCUCUAGCUCCGGAACCAGCCCAUCCCUGCCAGCCUCCGCUCACCUCUAAUAAACUAUUUUUUACUACA